CACUCCCUCCCAGGAGGAGCCCAGCUGCGGGUGGGCGGGGCUGGCGGGGAGAGGCUCACCACAUCCUCCUCUUCCUCCCCACUCUGCACAUGUGGCUGGGUGGCAGCCAGCAGCCUCGGACAGACCCACUGCCGUCUCUCUGCUGAAUGACCAUAAGUUCGGCGUCUGGUCCUCUGCCUGCCUCUCCCUGAGUGUGGCUGACAGCCACGCAGCUGUGUCUGUCUGCGGCCCGUGCAUCCUUGCUGCAGCCGCCUGGUACCUGCCUUGCCGUCUCCUUCCUCUGUCUGCUGCUUUGUGGGACACCUGUCUGGAGGCCCAGCUGCCCAUCAUUGGAGUGACAGGUCUUCUGACAGCCUGAUUGGUGACUCGGGCUGGGUGUGGAUUCUCACCCCAGGCCUCUGCCUGCUUUCUCAGACCCUCAUCUGUCACCCCCACGCUGAACCCAGCUGCCACCCUCAGAAGCCCAUCAGAUUGCCCCCUACAACACGGAAUGGAUUUCUGAGAAAGAAGCCGAAGCAGAAGGCCUGUAGGAGUCAGCAUGCUGCGUGGCUGGGCCGCCCCCUUGCUCCUGCUGCUGCUCCAGGGAGGCUGGGGCUGCCCCGACCUCGUCUGCUACACCGAUUACCUCCAGACGGUCAUCUGCAUCCUGGAGAUGUGGAACCUCCACCCCAGCACACUCACCCUUACCUGGUAAGUGGCCGGGCCUCGCCAGUCCCUGGGGAUGUAACUCACAGUGCCUGCUCAGUGAUUCCCCCAG
rnacentral:lncRNA from 1 species